AGCCCUGCAAAUGCUGGAUUAACCGUCUGCCUUCUAAGCAGGUUGUCGCAGGUUCGAUUCCUGCAGGGGUCGCCA
rnacentral:tRNA from 1 species